CAUUAAUCAUAGAUUUCAAAAUCCUCUUCUAAAAAAAAAAAAAAGAUUUCCAAAUUAAAAACGACAUGUCGACCAACCCUCGAGGAUCGGUUCCAAAUAAAACAUCGGCAUUUCCUCCCCCAAUCUUAGCGUCAGCUGCACUUCAAUGUCCAUCCUCUCUCUCUCCUCUCCUCCUCUCUCUCUGACAUCGAUUAACCUUUCUUCCUGAUUUUCUGUUUAAUUAGGAGGGAUAAGAAUUGAAUCAAGUAACGCAAGAUUUCAAUCUACAACCAUGGUUUUUGGGCUUCGAUCUUUCAGCGUUUUCAUGGCGUCGCUCCUUCAGUUAUCAUCAAUCGCUUCGCUUGCGACCAUUUUCCUGCUGCCGCGAUCCAUAUGAGAGGCGUGGCGGCAAGAUCAUCCGGCUAGCUUCUCAUUGGUUGCUCUGAUAUUCAACCACGAUUAGAUGAAAACUCUUCACAGAAGUCUCUUCUGCAAUAAUUUUGUGCCACUCACAUUUUUGUUUGGUAGGGGUUCAUUUGCAGGUCUGUUUCACCACUUCCGUAUCUGUUUUUUUUGUGGGUAUUUGAUUGUUUUCAAUUUCGAUUUUCCUCUUUCAACUGGACUUUAGUGGUCUUUGACUUGAUGGGUAGCUCCAGAUGGUACCUCCUGUUUUUUCUGUGCCUUUUCGCUGUGUUCUCUAGUGACAGCUCCGAUCGGCGGUGGUUGUUUCCUUUUGGUACACUAGCUUUUGGAUUUUGAUGGUUUCUAUGUUGGCAUGAACUUUAUUUCCUUGAGUUUAUUUGAAUUGACUGAGAUCAUAUUCAAUCUGUUGAAACUUUAUAAUCCAUGCAUUUGGGGUGAGAGGGGGGUGCUUGACAAUAAAUUAUUGGCUGUAGACAUGUAUGCCUUUGGUCGAAGUUGACCAUCCAUGACUCUUUAUUUUAUUCCAUUCACCUUUGCAUAAUUAGUAGAUUGAUUGAAAGAGAACGAAGUAGAACAAUUUAUGCAACUCUUUUGUUGUAAUUAUAGUUCUCAAAGUAUUGCCCUCUAUUGAUUCUGUACUUGGAGACUGCGAGAUUCUCCAAAUCUUCCAUAUCUUCCUUGGAUAGUUGCAAUUCUUAAGGGAUAUUUGCCAAUUUGGAGUGUGAUACUUGCUUGCCACAGUAAUGGAAACAGGAAACUUAACAACAGAAAUGAUAAUGGAGGGGUCCCUAGGUGAAGGUGGAGAAGGCUUUCUUUAUGUUGGUAUAUUCAUACACAACGUUUUAUUAUCUUUUGUUUUUCAGAGUUUGGAAUCUCACCCCAUCUUUGAUAACAAUUGAGGAAUCUGCUGAAGAGUUGUUCAGACGGUGACCUCCUUCAAUGUUAGGGACAAUCUUUCUUGGACUCUAGAUUUACAAUUGGAAACUAGGACUUUUUUGUGUUUGGACUAUUGGAGUAAUGUUCUGUUAGCUUCUGUGUUUCUUGUUCUCUUCCCACAGUCUAAGUUAGAAGACUGCUAAAGACAACUAUAUAAAGCUUGAAAUUUCGAACGUUAUCAAGCAGCUGGUUAGGAGCUGUUUUUCUAUGACAGAUUUCUAUUUCCAAGAACAGAAACUAAUAUACACAUAUCUGCUCUACUAGUUUUUAAAAGCUGUUUUCUCUUCUUCUGUUUCUUUAGUCUGUUCUCACGGAUGGCGUCGUUUUACAAGAUUUGAAGAACAUGUUCUUACAUGAACCAUGAGCAUGAGCAUGAGCAUGUGCAAGUAGUUCUAAAUAGAUAAAUCGCUGCCAUCAUAGUUCAUAGGAAUAAUUUUUAAAGUAAUUGCUUUAAUUGUUUUGAAAAUGAUCUCCUAAAACAUCGAUACCAUGCAUGAUUAGAGUUUACUGAUAUUGCAUAAGUAUACAUUUCUGUGAAGGGAUACGUCACUAUUGUCCUUUCAUGGUCGUUUAUUGGUGUCAAUUUAGGGGGAGGGAGGCUACAAACAAUCAAUUUGCAGUUGGCAGACAUUAGAAACCUUAGAAAAGAGAUGCCAUUAUCUGAAUUCUAAAUAUGUUGGAUGGUUAUUUCUUAACCUAUCAACUUCACUUUUCAGCAAUUCUAAACCAUUUGAAGCGUUUCCUAGAGUUGCAAGAUACAGUGAUACACUGUUCUUGUUUUAUUUGUUUUACAUAACCAUUUCAUUUUACUUUGGCUUGCAGUUUAGCUGGAUUGAUAAUACAGCUUAAGCAGAACACAAAUAUUGAAACAACAGCGAAAGAGAAUUGAAAGAAUUCGGGAGUAAUGCAAUUACAAAGCUACAGAGUGCUAAUUUUCACAAUAUUGUUUACUAUUCUAUCUAGUGCCAUAGAUAAUCAUAAGAAAAGGCAAUCCCUCCCCCUCCCUGGAAGAGAAAAACAUUAAAAAAAAAACAAAAGAAUUUGAUCCACUAACAUAGAGUAAUUUUUGGUACAA